rnacentral:rRNA from 1 species
CCCUUAGAUGUCCUGGGCCGCACGCGCGCUACACUGAACGGAUCAGCGCGUUUUCCCUUCCCGAGAGGGACGGGUAACCUGCUGAACCCCGUUCGUGGUAGGGAUCGGGGCUUGCAAUUAUUCCCCGUGAACCAGGAAUGCCAGUAAGUGCAAGUCAUAAGCUUGCGUUGAUUACGUCCCUGCCCUUUGUACACACCGCCCGUCGCUACUACCGAUUGAACGUUUUAGUGAGGUACUCGGACUGAGCCUCAGAAGAUUCACGUCUUUUGUGCUGCUCGGGAAGAUUCCCAAACUUGAGCGUUUAGAGGAAGUAAAAGUCGUAACA